rnacentral:rRNA from 1 species
AUGGCCGCUCCAUCCAUGUCUACCCGCAUUCCCAUCUUUGUGUUAGUCCUACUCUCGGCUGUGUCAGCUUCUUCUCCCAGUCCGAUCAAUGGCAAUGGCAGUGACAUCGACCUCGCCGCGCUGCUCGCUUUCAAAGCGCAGCUCGCCGACCCUCUCCACAUCCUUGCUGACAACCGGACCACCAGCACGUCUUUCUGCCACUGGGACGGCGUCUCGUGCAGUCGGCGUAGGCAACGUGUCACCGCUUUAUCAUUGGUGGAUACACAUCUUGUUGGAUCUGUAGCUCCUCACAUAGAGUACGGAUCACUUGGAAAAGCCUCAAGGAAGAGCGACGUGUUUAGUUACGGAAUCAUGCUCCUUGAAGUCUUCACCGGAAGAAGGCCCACCGAUGUCAUGUUCGGCACACAACUAACCCUUAGGCAGUGGGUUCAUCAUUCAUUUCCUGCUGAGCUUGUCCGAGUCGUCGAUGGUCAGCUUCUGCAAGGCUCCUCUCUUUCAAGUUGCAGGUUGGACGAUGGAAUUCUUGCAUCGGUCUUUGAGGUUGGGUUUGCGAUGUUCCAGUGA